rnacentral:lncRNA from 1 species
GGCCAGGAAACUGGAUUUUGGGACUGGGAUUUCAGAGAGGAAGCUGGAGAGCUGCAGGGUGGUCAUCUGUCACUUUAUUUUGCCCGUCUUGUAGCAUGUGGGUCUUUCGCAGCAGGAAGUGUGUUUUACAACCAGAGCCCCCGCCCUCCUGCAGCGCAGGCGCAGCUGGCUGGGCUCCUGCUUCCCACUCUCCACCUCAUCCAUAUUUGUCCUCGUCCCUGCCAGUCUCGAAAAGGCACUCUGUCACGUGUACACAGGAAAGGGCCCUGACAAGAGGAUGGGACUGCAGUUGUGGCUGCCAGGGCCCCGGCCAGGGUGAAAACAAGGAACAUUCCAGAGAAGAUCACAAGGAUGCGAAUAAAAUCGGAGCUGCACAGGGAUCUUUGGGCUGUAAUAGGAGGGGACACACAGGGGUUAGGGGAGGGUCUAGCCCUUGGCUCCCUCAGCCCAGCCCUCCUGUCACCUUGCCUCUCCCCUUUCCCCCACCUUAUUCUAUCCCACCCGCCACCGUUGGCCAACUCCUCUCCUAAACAGUGGACUCUGCUUUUUCCCCUCCUCUUAUCCCUAAUCCUAGGAGCUUUCUGUCUGGCUUCCCUCCUGGCCCCUCGUGUAUGCAUUCUCUCUAGCGGUGGGGAUUAAGGAGAAAACUCACGUGGCCAGUGGGUAGAGAGAGUCCGGGCAGGCAGCUGCCUGAAGUCAGCCAGAGUCUGCAUGUGCCCAGCUGUCCUGGCCUCCAGCAUCUCUGGAAAAACAGAGACAGAAUGAGUAGCAGCAGGGGACCCCAUAGGGCACAUCUGAAGGCCUGAGAGGUGCUGGAUGGGAUGGGAAGGCAGAAACAGGCUGACCUUAUCUAGGGGUAGGAGUGGGGAGUACUGGUUGGGGUAUCACCGCUACCCCACGUGAUGGCACAGAGAGUUGCCUGGAACUUACCACUGACAUAAGGUAAGUGGGUGGGCUGAGGGUGUGGGCUCAGGGCCUGAGACGACCGAGCGGUCAGCGAAGGGUUUGGAAGAGGAUCACACUCGGUGCACUCCUUGUCCCUGCACUGCCAGCCAUUGCGACAGGCACACUCAGCAUUGGCAGUGAUGGUGCAGUUGCGAACGAGAAGACCUGGGGGAAGAGAGGCCCAGGGAGCAUAGGACACUCAGACCUGUGGAGACCUUCAAGGUCCACUUGCUUCAUCCCCCAACCCCCAUCCCAGGCCCACCUCUAGGGACGUGCUUCCCUUUCCAUUCCCACCCCUGCAAAGGCCUGCCCUUUGCUCACGGUCCCCCAAUGCCUUUGCCAUUAUUAUUGUUAUUAAAGAAGAAAGUUGGACCUUUCAGAAGGAAGAUUCAUG